CAACAUUCAAUGUCUGUCCUACCUACCUAUCAUGCCGUCCAGGUUGGCCACGUAGAUAGAGAGGAAGGUUCUGGAGAUGAGAGCCAGGGAGUGGAACCCCAGCAGACCCAACUCCUUACAGAACAGCUGGGGAAACAGGAUACGAAGCAGCCAUCUUUGCUUGAAGAAAGUCUCCAAGCCUUGGGUCUAAUUCGUCAUGGAAACCAUUCGAUAUGAUUGGUCAUCGCCCGCCGAGAAAAGUGUACUUUUUCACCGCCUCCCACGCCACCUUCACACCGCCCUCUCCGCUUCUCACCGCUUUCCUUCCAUUGAAAUGAAUGGGAAGCAGUGUUUUACCGCGCGGCCACCUGUGCUAGUGUAUCAUGAGGGGUGCAUUCAUCGCUAUGCAAAAGAACAAUUCAUAAAGUCCAUCAAUAUGUCCAUAGUCACAACCACAGAAGAAGAAAAGUAGAAGUUGAAGAGACGUCUUUAUCCUCCUCGUAGGUCAAAUACAUGUUUUGCCUCCAGUCCUUGUUGCUAAAAUGAACGAAAGGAGUCAUUUAGAAAUGAAAGCAGUUCCCUUGGCUUCCUCCUCA